ACGAGAAAGUCACCUUCGGGUGGCGAGUAAAGUGGCGCACGGGUGAGUAACGCGUGGACAAUCUGCCCUUUGGUCUGGGAUAACCCUGGGAAACCGGAGCUAAUACCAGGUAAGACCACGACGCCUUCGGGUGAUGUGGGAAAAGAUGGCCUCUCCUUGGAAGCUGUCGCCAACUGAUGAGUCCGCGUACCAUUAGCUUGUUGGUGAGGUAACGGCUCACCAAGGCGACGAUGGUUAGCUGGUCUGAGAGGAUGAUCAGCCACACUGGAACUGAGACACGGUCCAGACUCCUACGGGAGGCAGCAGUCGGGAAUCUUGGGCAAUAGGGGAAACCCUGACCCAGCAACUCCGCGUGAGGGAUGAAGGCCUUCGGGUCGUAAACCUCUGUCGGGAGGGAAGAAAGCCGCGUCGUGAAUAUCUUCGCGGUUUGACGGUACCUCCAAAGGAAGCACCGGCUAACUCCGUGCCAGCAGCCGCGGUAAUACGGAGGGUGCAAGCGUUGUUCGGAAUUAUUGGGCGUAAAGCGGGUGCAGGCGGUCAAGUAAGUCGGAUGUGAAAGCCCUGGGCUCAACCCAGGAACUGCAUUCGAAACUACUUGACUAGAGUCUCGGAGAGGGUGGCGGAAUUCCCGGUGCAGAGGUGAAAUUCGUAGAUAUCGGGAGGAACACCAGUGGCGAAGGCGGCCACCUGGACGAUGACUGACGCUCAGGCCCGAAAGCGUGGGGAGCGAACAGGAUUAGAUA
rnacentral:rRNA from 1 species